UGGUGUGCCUCAGGGUUCGGUGCUGGGCCCUUUUCUAUUUGUGGUUUAUAUCAACGAUUUGGAUGAGAAUGUAGUAUGAUUAGUAAGUUUUCAGAUGACACUAACGUAGGUGAUAUUGUAGAUGGUGAAGAUGACUAUCAAAAAUUAUAAAAGGCUCUUGAUCAGCUGGGCAAGUGGGCUGACGAAUGG